ACAGAACACGGAUGAAGCUGGAUCCUCCAUAAACCGUGAGUUAGAUGAUCAAGAGAAUAUUCCUUUCAGUCAGUCUCCAACGGAGAAUAAUAAAGUGUCCCCUUCAGCAGAUGUUGUCUAUCCCAUAUUCAGUACACCCUCAGUCAGCAAAACAAGACCACAGCCUUUCCCAGAUGAUCUGGCUUCUCCCCUGGGAUUCAGCCCACCUAGAAAAAUGGUUCAUACCUUCCAGAAAACCAGCAAGAAAACAAAAGAACUGAGCAAAGACUUUAAAGACCAGAUGAUCAUUGAUGCUGGACAGAGGCAUUUUGGUGCCAUCAUAUGCAAAUCAUGUG
rnacentral:lncRNA from 1 species